CCCUUUUUGGUCUGAAAUGGUUCCUCCCUUACCCAUGAUCCUGUUCCUUCACCUGGUUGAGUCAUGUUUGGUUGCAGACGUUGUCAAAUCAAGUCAACACGCAGAAGGUUAGUUCUUCCAAGAAAGCCGGCUAGACGCUGUCGUGGUGCUCCAGAUGAUAUACGGCAUCACGGUGACGGUUACGGCUUUGACCUUGGGGAUCAUCUGUCUUAUCAUCGCCCCUCGGCUUCCGAGACGAUUUGUCCCGAACUACCGAUCGGGACUCAAGUGGAGUUUGACACAAGGGAACAGCUUUUCUAUCGGCCAGGGAGCGGCCGCCCCUAUCUUCGGCAUAGCGCUGGCCUGGCUGAUCAUGAGAGAGGCUCCGGGAUGGCCGAACGUCAUCGGUAUAGUCUUCCAGAUCGCCGGCGUCGUCAUGGUAGUCUUCGGCGGAAAAGCAACCCUCGAUUCAUCCUCUACAGAUUCGUGUGAACCAAACUGCACUACAAUUUCGUUGUUUGAAAAUGGAACCGAUUAUAAUGUUACGGGUCCUACAAACAACACAGCGACGGAUGAAGAAAGUUUCUCAAAACUUAUACCAGACGCAUUCGCUGCGUACGUUGUAGGAAAUCUUCUCGCUAUUCUAGGACCGUCAUUGCUGGCGUUAGUGGAUGUCAUUAACAGAAGAAGUAUGAAAGAUAACGCUAAGUUGACAGUUCUUCUGCUUGUCGAGACUUGGGGGACUGUGUUCAUCUUACCUCUUAUGUUUCUCUUGUCAACGCCCAAGUGGAAUCUUGAGCUA